AUGAACGCUAGCGAUAGGCUUAACACAUGCAAGUCGAGGAGCAGCAUGGUCUUAGCUUGCUAAGACUGAUGGCGACCGGCGCACGGGUGCGUAACGCGUAUGCAACUUGCCUCACAGAGGGGGAUAACCCGUCGAAAGACGGACUAAUACCGCGUACACUUGGGAUAGGGCAUCCUGACCCAAGGAAAUGAAAUUCGCUGUGAGAUAGGCAUGCGUCCCAUUAGCUAGUUGGUGAGGUAACGGCUCACCAAGGCGACGAUGGGUAGGGGAACUGAGAGGUUGAACCCCCACACUGGUACUGAGACACGGACCAGACUCCUACGGGAGGCAGCAGUGAGGAAUAUUGGUCAAUGGGCGAGAGCCUGAACCAGCCAAGUCGCGUGAAGGAUGACUGUCUUAUGGAUUGUAAACUUCUUUUAUACGGGAAUAACAAGAGUCACGUGUGGCUCCCUGCAUGUACCGUAUGAAUAAGCAUCGGCUAACUCCGUG
rnacentral:rRNA from 1 species